GGGUUUUGCGGCAACCCUUCUCCUCCCAUCGGGUUCCGCGAAUGACGGGUUCACCACUCCUCCUCCCGCGGUGAACCUAUGCAAGACGUCCGCCGGGUCCUCCCCCCGGCGGACGCCAAAG
rnacentral:sRNA from 20 species